AGGAAGAGGGGGUCACGGAGCAGCCUCCAAGGCUCCGGCCCCCCAGGCUCACCCUCUCCCUCCAGGUGCACCCAGGGCCCAGCCAAGCCCCUGCCUCCCCAGCCCGCCCUGACCCUCGCUCUGAGACCUGCCACCCACAGGCACAGCCGCGGGGCUCAGGGCAGAGCGGCCGCCGUGGCCCGGAGCCUGCAGUUCCCCGGACGGCCACUGGGUGCCGCUGCGGCCUCACUCAGAGAACACGGAGCCGGAACCCAAGCUAACGUGGCAUCUGGGAGGGCUGCCUGGAGGCAGUGUGAGCCUGAGGGCCUGGAAAGAUGGUGAGCACAGCCCGGACUCCCGCUCAGGUCCUGCUGUAAGCACGUGAACCCACACAGAAGGGACCACAGA